rnacentral:rRNA from 1 species
CCUGGCGGCACUAGCGCGGUGGUCCCACCUGACCCCAUGUCGAACUCAGAAGUGAAACGCCGUAGCGCCGAUGGUAGUGUGGG